AGUUUGAUCCUGGCUCAGAUUGAACGCUGGCGGCAUGCCUUACACAUGCAAGUCGAACGGCAGCACGGACUUCGGUCUGGUGGCGAGUGGCGAACGGGUGAGUAAUAUAUCGGAACAUACCCUAGAGUGGGGGAUAACGUAGCGAAAGUUACGCUAAUACCGCAUACGCACUAAGGUGGAAAGUGGGGGAUCGCAAGACCUCAUGCUCAUGGAGUGGCCGAUAUCUGAUUAGCUAGUUGGUGAGGUAAAGGCUCACCAAGGCGACGAUCAGUAGCUGGUUUGAGAGAACGACCAGCCACACUGGAACUGAGACACGGUCCAGACUCCUACGGGAGGCAGCAGUGGGGAAUUUUGGACAAUGGGCGCAAGCCUGAUCCAGCAAUGCCGCGUGAGUGAAGAAGGCCUUCGGGUUGUAAAGCUCUUUUGUCAGGGAAGAAACGGUUGUUCCUAAUACGGAUGGCUAAUGACGGUACCUGAAGAAUAAGCACCGGCUAACUACGUGCCAGCAGCCGCGGUAAUACGUAGGGUGCAAGCGUUAAUCGGAAUUACUGGGCGUAAAGCGUGCGCAAGCGGUUAUAUAAGUCAGAUGUGAAAUCCCCGGGCUCAACCUGGGAACUGCAUUUGAGACUGUAUGGCUAGAGUGUGUCAGAGGGGGGUAGAAUUCCACGUGUAGCAGUGGAAUGCGUAGAUAUGUGGAGGAAUACCGAUGGCGA
rnacentral:rRNA from 1 species